GUGGGGAAUUUUGGACAAUGGGCGAAAGCCUGAUCCAGCCAUGCCGCGUGAGUGAAGAAGGCCUUCGGGUUGUAAAGCUCUUUCGGUCGAGAAGAAAUGUCUAUGACUAAUACUUAUAGAAAAUGACGGUAUCGACAUAAGAAGCACCGGCUAACUACGUGCCAGCAGCCGCGGUAAUACGUAGGGUGCAAGCGUUAAUCGGAAUUAUUGGGCGUAAAGGGUGCGCAGGCUGUGUUGUAAGUCAGAUGUGAAAUCCCCGGGCUUAACCUGGGAAUUGCGUUUGAAACUGCAAUGCUAGAGUGUGAUAGAGGAGAGUGGAAUUCCAUGUGUAGCAGUGAAAUGCGUAGAGAUGUGGAAGAACACCAAUGGCGAAGGCAGCUCUCUGGAUUAACACUGACGCUCAUGCACGAAAGCGUGGGGAGCAAACAGGAUUAGAAACCCUAGUAGUCC
rnacentral:rRNA from 1 species